rnacentral:rRNA from 1 species
CACCNGUGGCGAAAGCGGCUCUCUGGUCUGUCACAGACGCUGAGGCUCGAAAGCGUGGGUAGCGAACAGGAUUAGAUACCCUGGUAGUNCACGCCGUAAACGAUGAGUGCUAGGUGUUAGGCCCUUUCCGGGGCUUAGUGCCGGAGCUAACGCAAUAAGCACUCCGCCUGGGGAGUACGACCGCAAGGUUGAAACUCAAAGGAAUUGACGGGGGCCCGCACAAGCGGUGGAGCAUGUGGUUUAAUUCGAAGCAACGCGAAGAACCUUACCAGGUCUUGACAUCCCGAUGCUAUUCUUAGAGAUAGGAAGUUACUUCGGUACAUCGGAGACAGGUGGUGCAUGGUUGUCGUCAGCUCGUGUCGUGAGAUGUUGGGUUAAGUCCCGCAACGAGCGCAACCCUUAUUGUUAGUUGCCAUCAUUAAGUUGGGCACUCUAGCGAGACUGCCGGUAAUAAACCGGAGGAAGGUGGGGAUGACGUCAAAUCAUCAUGCCCCUUAUGACCUGGGCUACACACGUGCUACAAUGGUCGGUACAACGAGUUGCGAGCCGGUGACGGCAAGCUAAUCUCUGAAAGCCGAUCUCAGUUCGGAUUGGAGGCUGCAACUCGCCUCCAUGAAGUCGGAAUCGCUAGUAAUCGCGGAUCAGCACGCCGCGGUGAAUACGUUCCCGGGCCUUGUACACACCGCCCGUCACACCACGAGAGUUUGUAACACCCGAAGUCGGUGAGGUAACCUUUUAGGGGCCAGCCGCCU